GCCCGCCUAGCUCAAUCGGAUAGAGCGUCAGACUCUUAGGCGGGUUAUGAUAACACGAUCAUACCGUGGAAAUCUGAAGGCUGCGAGUUCGACCCUCGCGGUGGGCU